GGGGGAUAACCUGGGGAAACCCAGGCUAAUACCGCAUACGUCCUACGGGAGAAAGCAGGGGAUCUUCGGACCUUGCGCUAUCGGAUGAGCCUAUGUCGGAUUAGCUUGUUGGUGAGGUAAUGGCUCACCAAGGCGACGAUCCGUAGCUGGUCUGAGAGGAUGAUCAGCCACAUCGGGACUGAGACACGGCCCGAACUCCUACGGGAGGCAGCAGUGGGGAAUAUUGGACAAUGGGCGAAAGCCUGAUCCAGCCAUGCCGCGUGUGUGAAGAAGGCCCUCGGGUUGUAAAGCACUUUCAGUGGGGAAGAAAGCCCCGGGAUUAAUACUCCCGAGGAAGGACAUCACCCACAGAAGAAGCACCGGCUAACUCCGUGCCAGCAGCCGCGGUAAUACGGAGGGUGCGAGCGUUAAUCGGAAUUACUGGGCGUAAAGCGCGCGUAGGCGGUCUGAUAAGCCGGUUGUGAAAGCCCCGGGCUCAACCUGGGAACGGCAUCCGGAACUGUCAGGCUAGAGUGCAGGAGAGGAAGGUAGAAUUCCCGGUGUAGCGGUGAAAUGCGUAGAGAUCGGGAGGAAUACCAGUGGCGAAGGCGGCCUUCUGGACUGACACUGACGCUGAGGUGCGAAAGCGUGGGUAGCGAACAGGAUUAGAUACCCUGGUAGUCCACGCCGUAAACGAUGUCGACUAGCCGUUGGGCUCCUCGAGAGCUUUGUGGCGCAGUUAACGCGAUAAGUCGACCGCCUGGGGAGUACGGCCGCAAGGUUAAAACUCAAAUGAAUUGACGGGGGCCCGCACAAGCGGUGGAGCAUGUGGUUUAAUUCGAUGCAACGCGAAGAACCUUACCUACCCUUGACAUCGUGCGAACUUUCCAGAGAUGGAUUGGUGCCUUCGGGAACGCACAGACAGGUGCUGCAUGGCUGUCGUCAGCUCGUGUUGUGAAAUGUUGGGUUAAGUCCCGUAACGAGCGCAACCCUUGUCCUUAUUUGCCAGCGCGUAAUGGCGGGAACUCUAAGGAGACUGCCGGUGACAAACCGGAGGAAGGUGGGGACGACGUCAAGUCAUCAUGGCCCUUACGGGUAGGGCUACACACGUGCUACAAUGGACAGUACAAAGGGUUGCAAAGCCGCGAGGUGGAGCUAAUCCCAUAAAGCUGUUCUCAGUCCGGAUCGGAGUCUGCAACUCGACUCCGUGAAGUCGGAAUCGUUAGUAAUCG
rnacentral:rRNA from 1 species